UACUACGGGAACUCCAGGGGAGGCUU
rnacentral:piRNA from 1 species